GAGAGUGGAGGCCGCUGUGGGCGGAGCGUCACGGAGAGGCGAGGGCCGACUUGGGCGGGGGCGUCUGGGAGGAGCAAGAAGGCGGCUGUGGGCUGGCCUAGCGGGGCCUCCGGAUCUGGGUCCGGGCGAGUGCUGAGCGCCUACGCUUCUAUCCGGCGGUGGGUCUCCGCUGCUGUCGGAUCCUGGGUAGGUCCCUGUUGCGCUCGCCGCCCUUAACCCGCACCGAGAGCCAUGGCCCAGCCGCCGCCCGACGUCAGUGAGGACGAGUGUCUUCCCGAGUACCGCCAUCUCUUCUGCCCGGACCUGCUACGGGACAAAGUGGCCUUCAUCACAGGUGGUGGCUCUGGGAUUGGGUUCCGAAUUGCUGAGAUUUUCAUGCGGCACGGCUGCCACACUGUCAUCGCCAGCAGAAGCCUUCCAAGAGUGUCAAUGGCUGCCAGAAAGCUGGCUGCUGCCACUGGCCAGCGAUGCCUGCCUUUGUCUCUGGACGUGCGCGCUCCCCCGGCCAUCACAGCUGCUGUGGACCAGGCACUGAAGGAGUUUGGGAAAAUUGACAUUCUCAUUAACUGUGCGGCCGGAAACUUCCUGUGCCCUGCCAGCACAUUGUCCUUCAACGCCUUCAAGACCGUGAUGGACAUUGACACCUUGGGCACCUUCAACACGUCUCGUGUGCUUUAUGAGAAGUUCUUCCGGGACCAUGGAGGGGUGAUCGUGAACAUCACUGCGACCCUGGGCAGCCGGGGGCAGGUGCUUCAAGUGCACGCAGGCUCUGCCAAGGCGGCUGUGGAUGCAAUGACACGGCACUUGGCUGUGGAGUGGGGUCCCCAGAACAUCCGUGUCAACAGCCUCGCCCCUGGCCUCAUCAGCGGCACAGAGGGGUUCUGGCGGCUGGACAGGUGUCUGAGGCAAAGGAGGCCUUCUGAAGGGAAUCUUGUCCACAACCCCUCUUGGGACGCCUCCUGCGGUGCUCUUUCCAGGACCUGCCUCCCACCCACAGAGAGCAUCAAACUGGACAGUGCAGCGGCAUCUGAAUCCGAGACUGGCCUCUCCCCCGGGAGCCAUGCUGUGUCCACCUUCCCUCCCCCCGGCCCCAUCUCCCGUGCUCGGGCAGGAGUGACCAGGCUAUGAUGCUGCCCGCUGAGCUGCCCGCACCACGCGGGUGUCACCAGAGGGGCUUUGACAUUCCAGAGCUGCCCCGGGAGUGGGGAUGCAGCCAAGGUGCUGCCCCACGUGCCUGCCCUGCCUCGCCCCGGCCUGGGAGGCCUUCAUUCUGCUGCUGCAGAAAGCGGGUGUCCCAUGGGUGUCCUGAGGCAGCCCUGCUGCAGGAAGUGGGCCUUUCAGGCUCCCUGUCUUCCCUUCCUGGCUCUUCCAUUUUGGGAUCUUAUUCGGCUAAACCAGGAAGCCAAACCAGGGAGACUAGAAAAGCAUCUUUGACCCCUCCCACCCCAGGCCUAGUAUCCUGGAUCCCCUUACCAGGGUGUCGGGCUGCAUACGGGAUCCCCCGCCUGGGGGUCACCCAUCCCUAUCAGCCUUUGGUGACACGGGCUGGGUUGCUCCCCACCUGUCCUGGCACCAGUCUGUCCUUUGCUGGGACGUCCUAGUGGACUUAGUCCUUUGCCAUUCAGAGACUACUUUCUAGGUCCUCCAGCUGGCCAUUGUCUUCAUCAGCACCCCCCAUAGUUCCAAAGGGCUCAGAAAAUUCUGGCCUCGGGCGCCUCGGGGGCACAGUCGGUUGAGGGUCUGACUCUUGAUUUUGGCUCAGGUCGGGAGUUCACGGUUCGUGGGAUCCAGCCCUGUGCUGACAGUGGAGCCUGCUUGGGAUUCUCUCUCUCUCUCUCUCUCUCUCUCUCUCUCUCUCUCUCUCUCUCUUCCCCUCCCCCUCUUUCUCUCUCUCUCAGAAUAAAUAAAUAAACAAAUUUUAAAAACUACUCUUUUUACUAUGAAACAUCUAUUUGUUGGACUUUGCGAACGUUUUUUUAUUCUUCGUUUAUUUUUGAGAGACAGCGAGACAGUACAAGUGGGGGAGGAACAGAGAGAGAGAGAGACAGAGAGACACAGAAUCUGAAGCAGGCUCCAGACUCUGAGCUGUCAGCACAGAGCCCAAAAUGGGCUCAAACUCACAAACCGUGAGAUCAUGACCUGAGCUGAAGUCAGACGCUUAACCGAUGGAGCCACCCAGGCGCCCCUGCAAAAAUUUUUAGGAGGAAGAGGGUGAUGCUUGAAAAGAAUCAUGGGUGAUCCGGUCAUUUGGAGUGGGGGAUGCUUCCUUCCUGUCCUCCUCCGGUGAGGGGUUUAGAGGCCCCCUCCCGCCUCCUACCUGAUACUUCCUGAGGCACAGGCACUGGGAGGCUGCCUGCUUCCCUGGUGGGAGGGGGUGUGCUCAGACCAGCCAGGUCCCCAAGGGGGCCGCCUUGCCCUGCAAGUCCCGGUUUGCUCCUGGACAGUGCUGGCCGCCGUUAGAGCAUGGAGCUUCAGUUCUCUGCCCCAGGUGCCACAUCACACGUCCCUUGUCCCGGAGCCUUUGUUCCAUGGAAAGAGACUGUACCUGUCUUUGAAGAUGCAGGGGAGUGGUAAGGAGGCCCCAGAACCACACUGGCUGAGAAGCCACCUGGCAGACGGUGCUCCACUUGCUUUAAAGGUGCUUCUUGUCACGGAGACCGGAAUGUGGUGGCAUCAUGUCCGCCAGCAAGGCAGACGAAUGGGUCCUUCUCAUGCAGCUGGGUGGAAACACAAAGCAGUGAGAGUGGUUACUGGGCAGGCUGGCCAGUGAAAGACAGAGGCUGUCAUUAGACAACCCCCGCCGGCCGAGCUUGGGUUUCGGUCCUUCCUUGAGGAAGGACCUGGGUGGUGGCCAGAGGUAGGCUGACGGCCAGGGUCUCUGCUGCCUUUGAAGGCUGGGACGCACAGCUGAAGUGCAAACUCCCUCCCACGGGGUAUCUGGCCAAAAACAAAAACAAAAACGAAAAAAAAAAAACACUUGCUGGGACUCAACAAUGGCUUACUUCCAGGAGGACAGAGUCUGGAAAGAAGGUUGCAGGACCAGGCCUUUUACUGCUGCGUCAGCGUUCUCUGAAGGAGCAGGACCAAUAGGAUAUAUAGAGCCAUCUCUAGAUUCCCUCGGGAAGUGUCAGGUUCUCUGAAAGGACAGGUCAUUCCGUGCACGUGAACCCCGGUCAGAGUUUCCUGCAACCUUCGCCAUAGAAGCUGAUCUCCGGGCCGCCCUGAGCUCCCCGUUCGAUGGUGAGGGGGUCCGGCUUUCAUCCCUUCGAACCACGUGAGACCAGGAGCCAAAGCAGAGGACUGCCAGCCACAGAGGCAGUGCAGCCUUCCAGCCUCUCCCAUUCCUUCACCAGCGUCUCAGGGAGCAGAUAGGCAUUUUUGGAAAGCUCCGCGUGCCUUAUCUGUUGAAUGAAUAAAUGAACCAAUCCCAGCUUAUUCACCCUAUGCCGUGUGAGCCACACAGAUUAUUCCCGAGACAUCCCACCAUGCAACGGACGUCCGGGUGUUCUCGCCCUUGUGAUACAGAAAGCAAAGGAAACCUCGAAAUGCUCUGAAAGAAGGAGUGCUGAUUUGGGGAGUUUCUCUCUGCCCACUCCUCCUGUUGUCAUGGUAACUUGGUAGAAUUCAGCGGUGGCUCGCAUGAGCUGGCUUUGUGCUUGGUGUCACCUUAGAAAGGCCCAGAGGUCAGCACCAGGCACUAAGGCCGGUUUCCCAAAAGCCAGACUUGAGCCGUGCCCUUCUCUUGGUCCCUGGGUUGGCACGCCCUCCCCGUGUUUGUCUCUGGUCGCUCUGGGUCCUUCACCUCACCCCUCCCCAUCCGCCUCUUCGCUCACACACUAUCCACCAAGUGCACACUGAGCUCCUGCUUGUGCCCGGCACCCUGGCUGAGGACCGAGGCGUGGGCACCCCCAAGUCUCCUGAACUUCUGCGCUCUCUGCCUCGGCAUCUGUGCACGUGGGCUCGCUGAGUAACGCGGGAAGAAUGAGGAGUCCCAAGAACCCCCACGAUUGGAGGCUCAGUAGAUGUUCCUCUCUCCUCUGACCCUCACAUCACCUUGUCCUUAUCCUAUGGAUUAGAGCAAGCCCGCUUCUCGCGGUCAAGCCCCCACCCUACAUAGCAGGUCCCCCGGAGGGGGAGGGCCUUGCUCCUUCCUGCCCUACAUAGAGGCCCGGUCACGCUGCAGCUAGGUCCCCUGGAGGAGGGUGGAUGAACUCUCCAGGGUAGGGUUUCCCUGGCGGCACAUGGGCCCCCUCAGGCAUCUCCCUCAGGAUACUGAGGCUAGUCUGUGUUGGAUGCUGGCAUCAGAAAUCUGCCCUGGGGGCGCCUGGGUGGCUCUGUCGGUUGAGCGUCCAACUUCGGCUCAGCUCUGGUCAUGAUCUCGAAGAUCACGAUUUCAAG